rnacentral:rRNA from 1 species
GACGUAGGGCGCGAGCGUUGUCCGGAUUUAUUGGGCGUAAAGAGCUCGUAGGCGGCUUGUCGCGUCGUCCGUGAAAACUUGGGGCUCAACCCCAAGCUUGCGGUCGAUACGGGCAGGCUAGAGUUCGGUAGGGGAGACUGGAAUUCCUGGUGUAGCGGUGAAAUGCGCAGAUAUCAGGAGGAACACCGAUUGCGAAGGCAGCUCGCUGGGACGUUACUGACGCUGAGACGCGAAAGCGUGGGGAGCAAACAGG